AAGGAGGGAUAGGUCGCAGGAAGCUUCAGCAUCUUGACGCCAUGGUUCUGUCGCUGUAGCCUCUAGAGGAGCUCAGCAGCCACAGUGCCUCGGUGUCAUGGAUCCUGCAUUUGGUCACCACCAUUUCCUGGAACAGAUGGGACAGAAACGUGGACCUUACAGGAUCCACUGACAGAUCUCCACUAGCGGAGUACAUACCAAGGAAGAAGGGGUAGGUGCAGGGCACAUCACUCUUAAAACAAGAAAGAGUGAGCACUGCGCAUUUGCAUUUGAAGAAAAACCAUGCUGCUGAGAAAGCCGCGUACAUGGGCUUUUGGGGACCAGAUGCUGAUGUGCAUGGGAUGCUACCACCUCAGCCUCUGUCUGAAACAGAAGAAGUCUUCUCUAUUAAACAGAUGGAAAGAA